GAAUAGGCCCAAGCGACUGUUUACCAACAACAUAGGUUUCUGCUAAGUCGCAAGACGAUGUAUAGGAGCUGACGCCUGCCCGGUGCUGGAAGGUUAAGGGGAGCUGUUAGAGCACUCGAAGCAGUGAACUUAGGCCCCAGUAAACGGCGGCCGUAACUAUAACGGACCUAAGGUAGCGAAAUUCCUUGUCGGGUAAGUUCAGACCCGCACGAAAGGCGUAACGAUUUGGG
rnacentral:rRNA from 1 species